rnacentral:tRNA from 1 species
ACCUUCGUGGUGUAAUGUUCAGCACACUCGGCUCGUAUUCGAGAGGUCCAAGUUCGAGUCCCGUCGAGGGCA